rnacentral:tRNA from 1 species
AUUUAUAUAGUUUAAUUUAAAACAUUAUAUUUUCACUAUAAAAUUAGAAUUUUAUUUUCUUAUAAAUA